rnacentral:rRNA from 1 species
GUGCCAGCCGCCGCGGUAAUACGUAGGGGGCGAGCGUUAUCCGGAAUUACUGGGCGUAAAGCGCGCGCAGGCGGCCUGUUAAGUCGGGUGUGAAAGGCUGCGGCUCAACCGCAGAGCGGCAUCCGAAACUGGCGGGCUUGAGUGCAGGAGAGGGAAGCGGAAUUCCCGGUGUAGCGGUGGAAUGCGUAGAGAUCGGGAGGAACACCAGUGGCGAAGGCGGCUUCCUGGCCUGUAACUGACGCUGAGGCGCGAAAGCGUGGGGAGCAAACAGGAUUAGAAACCCCCGUAGUCC